GUGGAUUAGUGGCGAACGGGUGAGUAACACGUGGGCAAUCUGCCCUGCACUCUGGGACAAGCCCUGGAAACGGGGUCUAAUACCGGAUACUGAUCGCCUUGGGCAUCCUUGGUGAUCGAAAGCUCCGGCGGUGCAGGAUGAGCCCGCGGCCUAUCAGCUUGUUGGUGAGGUAAUGGCUCACCAAGGCGACGACGGGUAGCCGGCCUGAGAGGGCGACCGGCCACACUGGGACUGAGACACGGCCCAGACUCCUACGGGAGGCAGCAGUGGGGAAUAUUGCACAAUGGGCGAAAGCCUGAUGCAGCGACGCCGCGUGAGGGAUGACGGCCUUCGGGUUGUAAACCUCUUUCAGCAGGGAAGAAGCGAAAGUGACGGUACCUGCAGAAGAAGCGCCGGCUAACUACGUGCCAGCAGCCGCGGUAAUACGUAGGGCGCGAGCGUUGUCCGGAAUUAUUGGGCGUAAAGAGCUCGUAGGCGGCUUGUCGCGUCGGUUGUGAAAGCCCGGGGCUUAACCCCGGGUCUGCAGUCGAUACGGGCAGGCUAGAGUUCGGUAGGGGAGAUCGGAAUUCCUGGUGUAGCGGUGAAAUGCGCAGAUAUCAGGAGGAACACCGGUGGCGAAGGCGGAUCUCUGGGCCGAUACUGACGCUGAGGAGCGAAAGCGUGGGGAGCGAACAGGAUUAGAUACCCUGGUAGUCCACGCCGUAAACGGUGGGCACUAGGUGUGGGCGACAUUCCACGUCGUCCGUGCCGCAGCUAACGCAUUAAGUG
rnacentral:rRNA from 1 species